rnacentral:lncRNA from 1 species
ACUAAACUAUUUUAACUAUUUACUCAUCUCUCUUCCUUGGCUGUUUUUUGUAGCCUUAAGGAAAAGACCUGCAUUUUUUUUCUUAUUUGAAUUACCAGCAACUUCUUCAGGUUUCGGCCAUUCUGGUAAUGCUCAAUAAAGUCGCUCGCUUGCUGGAAGGCUGGCCUCCUGCUUCACUUAGUGAAGGCUGACCAAACAGAGAGGGAACAAGAGAGAAGAAGAGAAGCCGCCCAGAUGAGAGAGAAGCCAUCUUACCUUUGUGCAGAUUCUCCUGGCAUUUUAAUGCUGCAGAAGCAGGUGUCUUCUAUCUUCCUCUUUACUAGAAUGUGGACCCAUAUUAACAACACAAUUCAUCAGUCUGUCUUUUGCUGUCCCUCAACCCUGUGAUCAUGUGAUACUAUGAAGAUACGCAAGCACCACGGAGUUCAGGGCAACCCU